GAAGCUGUGUGUUGGUGUCAGCUAAUCCAACCAGCUCGGCUUGGUUACGGAACCGGAAACCUUCUUAGGCAACGGUGAGACCGGUUCGGUUAUGUCAUCAAAUUAUGUAUUAUCAUUGAACCGAAUCAACAGAGGUGAGUCGGUAAGUCUGAAGUUUUGAGUACAUCGGGCCACGUCAAAACCGAUGUCAAAACCGGAGAGGGAAUAUAUUUAUCCGGCGGCGAGCCUCUCCCAGAAUUUUGAAAGCCGAUGAGCAUUGAUGGUGGCCUGCAUCAUAGUUGACUGAAAACAUAUUAGAUAUUUCUCAGAAUCGAUAAACAAUGAGAAACCACCAGAAUGAUCUAACACAGAUCUUAAAAAAAAUAUAAUAACAGAACAAUUGAUCUUACAUUCACGUCAAUCAGAAGCACAUCGUCCCACAUGAUCUCACCACCACGCUUGACAUUUCUCGGCUCCCAGAAACGCAGCAGUCUAGCCUCGACGACGGAUGAGCAACCACCGGUCUUCCAGUCCGAGAAGAAAACUCUUGAAUUAGCCAUAACAACACAAUUUCAGUAAGUCGACAGAGAUAGAAAUAGAUGAUGAGUUCGAUCGGAGAAGCACUCACAUAUUUAUACGGAUCUGACACCGUCUCAGAGUGAAGAACGCCUCAGUCAAGAAUGCAGAGUGGGCGAUUGAAUGAAGAGAAAUUAAGACGCACUAUAACUCAGCCAGUUUCAUAAAUGGUUAAGCAGAUCAAUCGUCACUCGUCGCCGGCGCAGAAGAAGGGAGAGACGUGCAUAUUCAACGAUCUAGGGUUAGAGCAAGCCGCAACGUCUAUAGGGCCGUGAGUGAAAAAAGGCCCAACACACGAAAUCGAAUCAAACCCAUAAGAUAACAUUUCUCGUUUAAUGAAACGCAGCGCUCCGUCUUUAGGGACACAUAAACAUUGAUUUCUGAAAUGAGUAAUCAUCUAGAGAAGCCAAGUUUGUUUCUUUACAUGUCUCAUUUCAGAAUCUGUGAGAAUUUUUUAGAUCGCCGGUCUUGCAUUCCCUAGCCUGGCUGCAAGAAGGGAAAAAAAGAAGAGCUAAACUUAUUGGUUCUCUCUAAACAGAAAAAGGUAGAAUUGUUCCUUAGAAUCUAACUUAUCUUUCUUUCAACUCAUGGGGAGUAAGGUGACCACAGUUUGCCUUGUUGAUCUGUUGUACCCAUCUGCAGAAAAGAUUUACAACACAUUUCAUAGGCUACUAAGAUAACAAAGUGAGUAAUUUCUCUAUGCAUUUACACAGAGUAUAGACUGUAUGAUUUGAGAUCAUAUCUCUAAGGCUUUCAAGAUAUACAAUGCGGGUAAGCUAUCAGAUGUUCAACAGAUCAACAGCACAUGGAGUAGCUUUACUAAUUAGAUGCAAUGUGAGCUCAAAGUCUAGCAAGGUAGAAAUUUUUAAAAAAAACACAAAAAAAAAAAUAGUUACUUUUCCAUCUUGAUAGUUGCCACGACACGAUUCUUAUCCUCUGGAGGUUCAUUCACUGUACUCUUAACAGCAGUGAUCUCACCUACAAUGUAUACGGAAAUGGAGAGCAAUAUCAGUACGUUGCAUGAAUACAAACUAUAGAAUCCAAAGCACAUAAUAAGGCCAUAAAUAAUGUUCGUACCUGGAAGCUGUGUGUUGGUGUCAGCUAAUCCAACCAGCUCGGCUUGGUUACGGAACCGGAAACCUUCUUAGGCAACGGUGAGACCGGUUCGGUUAUGUCAUCAAAUUAUGUAUUAUCAUUGAACCGAAUCAACAGAGGUGAGUCGGUAAGUCUGAAGUUUUGAGUACAUCGGGCCACGUCAAAACCGAUGUCAAAACCGGAGAGGGAAUAUAUUUAUCCGGCGGCGAGCCUCUCCCAGAAUUUUGAAAGCCGAUGAGCAUUGAUGGUGGCC
rnacentral:lncRNA from 1 species